rnacentral:lncRNA from 1 species
AUGAUUGGAAGGCAAUAGAAGCUGUCUAUUUGGGUGACAUCAUCACUGGAGAGCAGGCUGCCCUGGCAGAAAAGACGAAGGAUAUACCAGUCCCAGUCUGACUUACCUCCAGAAGUGAUAGAAAAGUAGAGGGACAUUCAGCCCCAGCGUGAGCCACUCUUGCGCACACAGGAACAUAAUGCAGAAGAGGCUAUGGAUGGAGUAUUCUGGCAGCACCAGCUGAAGAGGGAGCAGAGACACGGCCCUGAGUUAGAGGAGGAAAACGCCACUCCUGCUUCUAUGGCAGCUGACUUCUGCCUGGACACUGCCUCUCACAGACGGUUGACACAAAGGCCCUCCCUGCAGCAACGUAGAGCCACUGCCCCAACACAGAUCCAUUUCUGGGGUCACCCAUGGAUGGCCACUGGGAAGACUGGAAGAGCUGGUCCAGCCCAUGUGUCAUCUGACCCAAGGCAGGACCACUAGGAGAAAUACUGCAAGGGUUUCUAAUGAAUCCAUAACUGCCCUGCUCUUGUUUUUCUGGCCCCUGUGUAUCCUCCUAUAGUAACUCACAAACCUAAAGUGAAUAUGUACAUUUAUCACAAAUAUAGGAGGGUCAGGAAAAAAUGGCCAGCCUCAGAAGGCAGUGGCAUUUUGCCUGAUGGUGGAUGGAGCAAGAGGAACGCGAGAAAAACAACAAUUAGCAAUGAUGAAGAGGGACAGUGUAGCCUCUGGGGGAAGAGGGAAGAAACUGAUCCUGACCAAGAAAGGCCUGAUGGUGGGAAGUGUGACCAGCAGGAAGACUAAGCUCUCCCACCUCCAAUCCAGCCACACAGGUGGCUUCUCUAGAUGACCUCUUAUGCCUAGAACACUGAACAGGAUCCUUACAAGUAGAAGAGGCUCCUCCAAUUAAUCCAGAGACUUUUAGGAGUGACAGUGACCUUUUGAUACACACACUGAUCCUUGCCUACUUCACCAGCUGCUUCUUGUCACAAUGAUGUGGAAGAGGUAAGGAACCUCUUCCUUCUAGACCAAAUGGAAAUCAGCCAGGCCAUUUGCAUGAGGCCUGCACCAUAGCCAUUAUGGCUGCCUCCACUCACACCCAGCACUCAGCCUUCUGGAAGGUGGUAAGGUCUCAUUUUCCAGCUCUCAGGGGUUGGGGCUGCUGAUGGGCUGUGGGCAGAAGUGAUGUGGAGAGAAGGCCAGACCACUUAACGGCUGAUACAAAAUUCUCCAGAGUCUCUUUUCCUUUUCCUCUGACAAAGCAAAAAGCAUUUAGGAUGGUGGGUACUCCAUCAUCCUGAAGCCACAAGUAAGGAAAGAGGCCCCCAGGCAACUCAUGAUGGACUAGAGUGUGAGCAGUAAAGAAACUUGUGUUGUUUUAAGCUGCCAAGAGUUGAGUGUUGUUGUUGUUGUUGUU